AGCGAACGCUGGCGGCAGGCUUAACACAUGCAGGUCGAGCGGGCACUUCGGUGUCAGCGGCAGACGGGUGAGUAACACGUGGGAACGUACCCUUUGGUUCGGAAUAACGCUGGGAAACUAGCGCUAAUACCGGAUACGCCCUUUUGGGGAAAGGCUUGCUGCCGAAGGAUCGGCCCGCGUCUGAUUAGCUAGUUGGUGGGGUAAUGGCCUACCAAGGCGACGAUCAGUAGCUGGUCUGAGAGGAUGAUCAGCCACACUGGGACUGAGACACGGCCCAGACUCCUACGGGAGGCAGCAGUGGGGAAUAUUGGACAAUGGGCGCAAGCCUGAUCCAGCCAUGCCGCGUGAGUGAUGAAGGCCUUAGGGUUGUAAAGCUCUUUUGUCCGGGACGAUAAUGACGGUACCGGAAGAAUAAGCCCCGGCUAACUUCGUG
rnacentral:rRNA from 1 species